rnacentral:rRNA from 1 species
UACGAAGGGUGCAAGCGUUAAUCGGAAUUACUGGGCGUAAAGGGUGCGUAGGCGGUUCGUUAAGUCUGUCGUGAAAGCCCCCGGCUCAACUGGGGAGGGUCACGCGAUACUGACCGACUCGAAGGCAGGAGAGGGUAGUGGAAUUCCCGGUGUAGUGGUGAAAUGCGUAGAUAUUGCUCGGAAGGCCAGAGCCGAAGGGGCCCCAUUGGUGCGCAACUGACGCUGAGGCACGAAAGCGUGGGGAGCAAACAGG